rnacentral:rRNA from 1 species
UUAUUGAUUAUAAUUUUAGGUCUGGCCUGCCCAAUGAUGCAAAUAAGUAUUAAAUGGCUGCGGUAUACUGACCGUGCAAAGGUAGCAUAAUCACUAGUUUUUUAAUUGAAAGCUUGUAUGAAAGGUUUGAUGAAAAAAUAGCUGUCUCUAUUUAAAUUUUGUUGAAAUUUAUUUUUAAGUUAAAAAGCUUAAAUGUUUAUAAAAGACGAGAAGACCCUAUAGAGUUUUAUAAUAAGAAGAAUAAAUGAAUAGUUUAGGAUAUUAUAAUUUAUUAGGAAAAUUAUUUAGUUGGGGUGAUUGAAAAAUUUAAUAAACUUUUUUUUUAUAAAAUCAUUGAUUUGUGAGUAUUUGAUCCUUAGAUUUAGAUUACAAGAUAAAAUUACCUUAGGGAUAACAGCGUAGUUUUUUUUAGAGUUCUUAUUGAAAAAAAAGAUUGCGACCUCGAUGUUGGAUUAAAAGAAAUUAUUGGUGUAGAAGCUAAUAAAUUAGGUCUGUUCGACCUUUAAAAUUUUACAUGAUCUGAGUUUAAACCGGCGUAA